UCAGUCGGCCGGACGGCCGCUCCCGCUACGGUCGAAAGGCUGCGGGGGAGGAAAGUCCGGGCUCCAUCGACAUACGGUGCCGGAUAACGUCCGGCGGGGGCAACCCCAGGGAAAGUGCCACAGAGAACGAACCGCUCCGUCUCCGGACGGAGUAAGGGUGAAAAGGUGCGGUAAGAGCGCACCGCGUAUCCGGCAACGGAAACGGCAUGGCAAACCCCACCGGGAGCAAAACCGAAUAGGGACGGCAAUGCGGGUCCGUUCGCGAGAGCGAUAACGCCGCAGGGCGAUGUCAGGCUCGCCGUCCGGGUAGGUUGCUCGAGGCCAUGUGCAAACCUGGUCCCAGAGGAAUGGCCGUCACGUACCAUUCGCAAGAAUGGUGCCCUACAGAACCCGGCUUACAGGCUGGCUGAUGUU
rnacentral:RNase_P_RNA from 1 species